GAAGAGUUUGAUCAUGGCUCAGAUUGAACGCUGGCGGCAGGCCUAACACAUGCAAGUCGAACGGUAACAGGAAGCAGCUUGCUGCUUUGCUGACGAGUGGCGGACGGGUGAGUAAUGUCUGGGAAACUGCCUGAUGGAGGGGGAUAACUACUGGAAACGGUGGCUAAUACCGCAUAACGUCGCAAGACCAAAGAGGGGGACCUUCGGGCCUCUUGCCAUCAGAUGUGCCCAGAUGGGAUUAGCUUGUUGGUGAGGUAACGGCUCACCAAGGCGACGAUCCCUAGCUGGUCUGAGAGGAUGACCAGCCACACUGGAACUGAGACACGGUCCAGACUCCUACGGGAGGCAGCAGUGGGGAAUAUUGCACAAUGGGCGCAAGCCUGAUGCAGCCAUGCCGCGUGUAUGAAGAAGGCCUUCGGGUUGUAAAGUACUUUCAGCGGGGAGGAAGGUGUUGUGGUUAAUAACCGCAGCAAUUGACGUUACCCGCAGAAGAAGCACCGGCUAACUCCGUGCCAGCAGCCGCGGUAAUACGGAGGGUGCAAGCGUUAAUCGGAAUUACUGGGCGUAAAGCGCACGCAGGCGGUCUGUCAAGUCGGAUGUGAAAUCCCCGGGCUCAACCUGGGAACUGCAUUCGAAACUGGCAGGCUUGAGUCUUGUAGAGGGGGGUAGAAUUCCAGGUGUAGCGGUGAAAUGCGUAGAGAUCUGGAGGAAUACCGGUGGCGAAGGCGGCCCCCUGGACAAAGACUGACGCUCAGGUGCGAAAGCGUGGGGAGCAAACAGGAUUAGAUACCCUGGUAGUCCACGCCGUAAACGAUGUCUACUUGGAGGUUGUGCCCUUGAGGCGUGGCUUCCGGAGCUAACGCGUUAAGUAGACCGCCUGGGGAGUACGGCCGCAAGGUUAAAACUCAAAUGAAUUGACGGGGGCCCGCACAAGCGGUGGAGCAUGUGGUUUAAUUCGAUGCAACGCGAAGAACCUUACCUGGUCUUGACAUCCACAGAACUUUCCAGAGAUGGAUUGGUGCCUUCGGGAACUGUGAGACAGGUGCUGCAUGGCUGUCGUCAGCUCGUGUUGUGAAAUGUUGGGUUAAGUCCCGCAACGAGCGCAACCCUUAUCCUUUGUUGCCAGCGAUUAGGUCGGGAACUCAAAGGAGACUGCCAGUGAUAAACUGGAGGAAGGUGGGGAUGACGUCAAGUCAUCAUGGCCCUUACGACCAGGGCUACACACGUGCUACAAUGGCGCAUACAAAGAGAAGCGACCUCGCGAGAGCAAGCGGACCUCAUAAAGUGCGUCGUAGUCCGGAUUGGAGUCUGCAACUCGACUCCAUGAAGUCGGAAUCGCUAGUAAUCGUGGAUCAGAAUGCCACGGUGAAUACGUUCCCGGGCCUUGUACACACCGCCCGUCACACCAUGGGAGUGGGUUGCAAAAGAAGUAGGUAGCUUAACCUUCGGGAGGGCGCUUACCACUUUGUGAUUCAUGACUGGGGUGAAGUCGUAACAAGGUAACCGUAGGGGAACCUGCGGUUGGAUCACCUCCUUACCUUAAAGAA
rnacentral:rRNA from 1 species